GUUUGAAAAAUUAUAUUUCUCUAUUAUAGUAUUUAAGUAUUACAUUAUUAAUGUUAAGUUGAAAAUGAAAUAUGUAUACAGAAAAAAAAAAAAAAAAAAAAAAAAAAACAAAAAUAAACUAUAGUACGGUAUUCGCUAGUUUCCUAGAUUGUAUUAUGCGUUAAAUGUGUGUCAGCGCGUGUGUGAAAUUUCGUUUGAACAUUCUCGGCGGAAUUAUUAAUUGUAUACUCUGCAACACACAUACUCGUACAUUAUAUCAUAUUGUAUUAUUAUAUACCUAUAUAGCAUC